rnacentral:rRNA from 1 species
UACGAAGGGGGCUAGCGUUGUUCGGAAUCACUGGGCGUAAAGGGCGCGUAGGCGGCCGAUCAAGUCGGGGGUGAAAGCCUGUGGCUCAACUACAGAAUUGCCUUCGAUACUGUUUGGCUUGAGACCGGAAGAGGUUAGUGGAACUGCGAGUGUAGAGGUGAAAUUCGUAGAUAUUCGCAAGAACACCAGUGACGAAGGCGGCUGACUGGUCCGGUUCUGGCGCUGAGGCGCGAAAGCGUGGGGAGCAAACAGG